UUGAAUUGGUCUCCAUCGUCUCCUAGACGUAUCCCCAUAGUGUCUGGAUCAAGUCAUGAUGAACAUAGUUUAGGGAGCCAACCGGGUGGAGCUGUGUUAACCCAUGGAUCAGAAUAUGCUCUUAAUUCACAAGAUAAUGAAAUUGAGAACAUUCAUGCAAACUUUAAUGAUGAGCGUUUGCCGGUAUUCUUUAAUGAGCAUGGGCAAUGGAACGGGCCAGCACAAUUUCCAACCUGGAUCGGAGAGAUUACAAGGUCACAAAUAGGAUUAGGGUAUAAGACUUGGAAAGAGGUUCCUGAUUAAUGCAAAGAAGACAUUUGGAACUCUGUUCAAAGUACGAACCAGGUAACAAA